GCAGCUCCUCUGAGGAAGAACGUUCUUUAGACGUUCCUGAUCUCCACCGUCCUCCUCCCUCCAGCGGUCCCACAAUGGACCCUUUGUGUUCUGCAGAGACGUCACGGGUCAGGCGGAACCAGAGCCACUCGGCCCGCAGGAACAGGGUGAAGGACGACUGGAGACGGUGUCUGCUGGGGACAGGACCCAGAGCUGCACAGGACGGCCGGAGGGCAGCGGCAGGACAUCAUGCUGUGAGACCUUUGUCCUGCCUCACACGGACAAAGGGAGUCUGCAGGCUGUCUUCAGUGAAGAUGAGUGGCACCAAAAGGAAGAGUGGCUUUCAGAUCACUAGUGUCACCUCUGAUUCCGUCCACCUAACAUCUCCAAUCAACCAAUCAUCUCCAAGAGAAACUAUGCCCAACCAAUCAGGUCAUUCCUCCUCAAUCAGCCCCCAGGGAAGCUCCUCUCAGCCCACCACUCCAUCUUCAAAGAAGAAAUACAUUUCCCAUGAUGCUCUAGGACAGCGCGCCAGUUCCCCCUCCAGGUUUAGGUUGGUGAGGCUGACUGAGGGCGGGGCCAGCAGCAGUGGGCGGGGCUCUUAUAGGCGUGGGAGAUGGACAUGCAAAGAGUUUAAGGAGCAGUUUGAGGGGGCGGGGAUGAGAUGGAUGAUGGACAGCCUAAGAAACGCCCAUUCUUUGGAUUCCUUGGAUAUCAUGGAUCUGGAAAAGGGUGGAGUCACUCCUCAGUACACUUCCUGCCCUUUGGCUCUGCCAUCAAAAGGAAUCAAAGGGGUGGGGCUUGUUUCAUCAAGUGGACCACCAUCUCCGACACAGCCGGAGACAAACCACCUGGUUAAGGACAAAGAGCCAAUCAGAGGACCCAGUUUAGAGCCCGCCCCUACAACGGCCCCACCUCGCCCACAGAAUUUCCCGCUUCCAUUACGACCGUACGCUGGCACACCUGGACAGCCUUCCUUCAGGAUGUCCCAGUCUUUACCCGGCUCUCCCCCCACCGGACGCUGCCGUCCCUCCCUGAUGUCCCUACACCCCCCUUCAGCCUCCAGUCUGGACCAAACCGUCUUCAUCCAGCAGGAGGACAGCAGACCCGCCAGUCCAGCCAUCGACAGUAAGAUCCAGCAAGCCAUGGACCUGACCAAGAGUCACCUGAUGGUGGCGGUGCGAGAGGAGGUGGAGCUUCUGAAGGAGCACAUCAGAGACCUUCAGGAGAAGAACCAGCAGCUGGAGAGAGAGAACCACGUCCUGCGGGCGCUGACACGCCACUACUACCCAGAAAAAUGACAUCACCAUGGUAACGGCAUCGGUGGAACGUCUGCUGGACGGAGAACCAGCAGCAGCAGCAGCGAUGGAGAACUGGACCUUCUGCCAGGAGCGACUGGGGAGGAAAACACCUCAGCUCUCUUCAUCUAAAGCUAACUACCAACUACCAGCAGGGGUCAAAGGUUAAAUGUUCACACAUUAAAAUAAAAC